rnacentral:rRNA from 1 species
UACGAAGGGGGGCUAGCGUUGUUCGGAAUUACUGGGCGUAAAGCGCGCGCAGGCGGUCUUCCAAGUCAGUGGUGAAAGCCUGGAGCUCAACUCCAGAACUGCCAUUGAAACUGUUAGACUUGAGUACGAGAGAGGUGAGUGGAAUUCCCAGUGUAGAGGUGAAAAUUCGUAGAUAUUGGGAAGAACACCAGUGGCGAAGGGCGGCUCACUGGCUCGUAACUGACGCUCAGGCGCGACAGCGUGGGAUCGAACG